rnacentral:tRNA from 1 species
GACCUGAUAGCUCAGCUGGUAGAGCAUCUCCCUUUUAAGGAGAGGGUCCUGGGUUCGAGCCCCAGUCAGGUCACAA